UUUGGUGGUCAUAGCGAGAGCAAAACACCCGGAUCCAUCCCGAACCCGGCCGUUAAGUGCCUUUGCGCCGAUGGUACUGCAUCUUAAGGUGUGGGAGAGUAGGUCACCGCCAAAC
rnacentral:rRNA from 3 species